UUUCCGUAGGUGAACCUGCGGAAGGAUCAUUAAAGAGUAAGGGUCUUCGGGCCCGAUCUCCAGCCCUUUGUUUAACUACCAUGUUGCUUUGGCGGGCCCGUCUCACGACCGCCGGAAGUUUGGCUUCGACCAAACUUCUGGCCCGUGCCCGUCAGUGGCCCCUUCAAAUUCUUGAUCAAGUAUGAUGUCUUAGUUAAAAACUUAAUAGUUAAAACUUUCAACAACGGACCUCUUGGUUCUG
rnacentral:misc_RNA from 1 species